rnacentral:rRNA from 1 species
GACGAACGCUGGCGGCGUGCUUAACACAUGCAAGUCGAACGGAAAGGCCCUGCUUUUGUGGGGUGCUCGAGUGGCGAACGGGUGAGUAACACGUGAGUAACCUGCCCUUGACUUUGGGAUAACUUCAGGAAACUGGGGCUAAUACCGGAUAGGAGCUCCUGCUGCAUGGUGGGGGUCGGAAAGUUUCGGCGGUUGGGGAUGGACUCGCGGCUUAUCAGCUUGUUGGUGGGGCAGUGGCUUACCAAGGCUUUGACGGGUAGCCGGCCUGAGAGGGUGACCGGCCACAUUGGGACUGAGAUACGGCCCAGACUCCUACGGGAGGCAGCAGUGGGGAAUAUUGCACAAUGGGCGGAAGCCUGAUGCAGCAACGCCGCGUGCGGGAUGACGGCCUUCGGGUUGUAAACCGCUUUCGCCUGUGACGAAGCGUGAGUGACGGUAAUGGGUAAAGAAGCACCGGCUAACUACGUG